rnacentral:rRNA from 3 species
GGAGUUUGAUCCUGGCUCAGGAUGAACGCUGGCGGCGUGCCUAACACAUGCAAGUCGAGCGAGCGGCGGACGGGUGAGUAACGCGUAGGCAACCUACCCUUCACCCAGGGACAGCCUCCGGAAACGGGGAUUAAUACCUGAUGACCAAAGUUGGUGAGGGAUGGGCCUGCGUCUGAUUAGUUAGUUGGUGAGGUAACGGCUCACCAAGGCGACGAUCAGUAGCCGACCUGAGAGGGUGACCGGCCACAUUGGAACUGAGACACGGUCCAGACUCCUGCGGGAGGCAGCAGUGGGGAAUAUUGCACAAUGGGCGAAAGCCUGAUGCAGCAACGCCGCGUGAAGGAUGAAGGUCCUUGGAUUGUAAACUUCUGUCCAUAGGGAAGAUGACGGUACCUAUGGAGGAAGCCCCGGCUAACUACGUGCCAGCAGCCGCGGUAAUACGUAGGGGGCAAGCGUUAUCCGGAAUUAUUGGGCGUAAAGCGUGCGUAGGCGGCUUUUUAAGCGUGGGGUUUAAGGCUAUGGCUCAACCAUAGUAUGCCCUGCGAACUGGAAGGCUUGAGUACAGGAGAGGAAAGCGGAAUUCCUAGUGUAGCGGUGAAAUGCGUAGAUAUUAGGAGGAACACCAGUGGCGAAGGCGGCUUUCUGGACUGACUGACGCUGAGGUACGAAAGCGUGGGGAGCAAACAGGAUUAGAUACCCUGGUAGUCCACGCUGUAAACGAUGAGCACUAGGUGUCGGGGCUUCGGUGCCGCAGUUAACGCAAUAAGUGCUCCGCCUGGGGAGUACGUUCGCAAGAAUGAAACUCAAAGGAAUUGACGGGGACCCGCACAAGCAGCGGAGCAUGUGGUUUAAUUCGAAGCAACGCGAAGAACCUUACCAGGACUUGACAUCGACAGGUGGUGCAUGGUUGUCGUCAGCUCGUGUCGUGAGAUGUUGGGUUAAGUCCCGCAACGAGCGCAACCCUUGUUACUAGUUGCCAUCAUGGGCACUCUAGUGAGACUGCCGGGGACAACUCGGAGGAAGGUGGGGAUGACGUCAAAUCAUCAUGCCCCUUAUGUUCUGGGCUACACACGUGCUACAAUGGCUGGCAAAGAGAAGCGAGACCGUGAGGUGGAGCAAAACUCACCAGCCCCAGUUCGGAUGCAGGCUGCAACUCGCCUGCAGAAGCCGGAGUUGCUAGUAAUCGCAGAUCAGAAUGCUGCGGUGAAUGCGUUCCCGGGUCUUGUACACACCGCCCGUCACACCAUGGAAGUUGGGGGCGCCCGAAGUUGGUAUUACCUAAGGCGAAACCGAUGACUGGGGUGAAGUCGUAACAAGGUAGCCGUAGGAGAACCUGCGGCUGGAUCA